ACAGAGACUGCAAGCGUUAUUCGGAUUCACUGGGCGUAAAGGGUGCGCAGGCGGCCGUGUGUGUGAGGCGUGAAAGCCCGGGGCUUAACCCCGGAAUUGCACCUCAAACUACAUGGCUAGAGCAUUGGAGAGGGUAGCGGAAUUCACGGUGUAGCAGUGAAAUGCGUAGAUAUCGUGAGGAACACCAGAGGCGAAGGCGGCUACCUGGACAAUUGCUGACGCUCAGGCACGAAAGCGUGGGGAGCAAAAGGGAUUAGAUACCCCUGUAGUCCACGCCCUAAACGGUGCACACUAGGUCUUGGCGGAUUCGACCCCCCCAGGGCCCAAGCUAACGCGUUAAGUGUGCCGCCUGAGGACUACGGCCGCAAGGCUA
rnacentral:rRNA from 1 species